rnacentral:rRNA from 1 species
GGAUGGACCCGCGUCUGAUUAGCUUGUUGGCGGGGUAACGGCCCACCAAGGCGACGAUCAGUAGCCGACCUGAGAGGGUGAUCGGCCACAUUGGAACUGAGACACGGCCCAGACUCCUACGGGAGGCAGCAGUAGGGAAUUUUCGUCAAUGGGCGCAAGCCUGAACGAGCAAUGCCGCGUGGGUGAAGAAGGUCUUCGGAUCGUAAAGCUCUGUUGCGAGGGAAAAAGGAAGAGAAGAGGGAAUGAUUCUCUUUUGAUGGUACCUCGCCAGAAAGUCACGGCUAACUACGUGCCAGCAGCCGCGGUAAUACGUAGGUGGCGAGCGUUAUCCGGAAUGAUUGGGCGUAAAGGGUGCGCAGGCGGCAUAUCAAGUCUGAAGUGAAAGGUACGGGCUCAACCUGUACAGGCUUUGGAAACUGGUAUGCUCGAGGACAGGAGAGGGCGGUGGAACUCCACGUGUAGCGGUAAAAUGCGUAGAGAUGUGGAAGAACACCAGUGGCGAAGGCGGCCGCCUGGCCUGUAACUGACGCUCAGGCACGAAAGCGUGGGGAGCAAAUAGGAUUAGAUACCCUAGUAGUCCACGCCCUAAACGAUGAGGAGCAGGUGUCGGGGGUAGUACCUCGGUGCCGAAGCUAACGCAAUGACUCCUCCGCCUGGGGAGUAUGCACGCAAGUGUGAAACUCAAAGGAAUUGACGGGGGCCCGCACAAGCGGUGGAGUAUGUGGUUUAAUUCGAAGCAACGCGAAGAACCUUACCAGGCCUUGACAUCCCGAGCAAAGACAUAGAGAUAUGUUAGAGGUUAUCUCGGUGACAGGUGGUGCAUGGUUGUCGUCAGCUCGUGUCGUGAGAUGUUCAGUUAAGUCUGGCAACGAGCGCAACCCUCGUGAUGUGUUACUACCAUUCAGUUGAGGACUCACAUCAGACUGCCGGUGACAAACCGGAGGAAGGCGGGGAUGACGUCAAAUCAUCAUGCCCCUUAUGGCCUGGGCUACACACGUACUACAAUGGCAUCUACAGACGGAAGCGAACCUGUGAAGGUAAGCCAAUCCGAGAAAAGAUGUCCCAGUUCGGAUUGAAGUCUGCAACUCGACUUCAUGAAGUUGGAAUCGCUAGUAAUCGCGGAUCAGCAUGCCGCGGUGAAUACGUUCCCGGGCCUUGCACUCACCGCCCGUCAA